rnacentral:rRNA from 1 species
AACGAACGCUGGCGGCAUGCCUAACACAUGCAAGUCGAACGAGACCUUCGGGUCUAGUGGCGCACGGGUGCGUAACGCGUGGGAACCUGCCCUUAUGUUCGGAAUAACUCCCCGAAAGGGGUGCUAAUACCGGAUAAUGUCUUCGGACCAAAGAUUUAUCGUCUUUGGAUGGGCCCGCGUUGGAUUAGCUAGUUGGUAGGGUAAAAGCCUACCAAGGCGACGAUCCAUAGCUGGUCUGAGAGGAUGAUCAGCCACACUGGGACUGAGACACGGCCCAGACUCCUACGGGAGGCAGCAGUGGGGAAUAUUGGACAAUGGGCGAAAGCCUGAUCCAGCAAUGCCGCGUGAGUGAUGAAGGCCUUAGGGUUGUAAAGCUCUUUUACCCGGGAUGAUAAUGACAGUACCGGGAGAAUAAGCUCCGGCUAACUCCGUG